rnacentral:lncRNA from 1 species
AAAUUCAUUAUUGCUAUUUGUUUUCCCAUUCAGAACUCAUCUUGAAAGGUAUUGACUGCUAAGGAGUGUUUGUGCUGCUCUUUUUUUCUGAACCAUAUAUAAUGGUAGUAAAUCUGGCCCUUUUUGUUCCACAGAACAAUUAGGAAUACAGAAAACCUCCUGCUGAGAGCCUAUUAUCAGAAAUUGUCUGCACCAGAUGAGAAUAAUUGUUUUGCGAUGUUCGCAAAUUGUUGCGCUUGAACGAAAAGUAACAUUCUCAUACACCAGUCCCACAAACCCAAGCAGAUGAAAGAGUCUGUUGAUUUCAAGCACCACUCCUUCUGGAAAGCAGGGGAAAUGCCAGCUAUACUGGAAGUUUCUCUGACCAUAAACUGGGCCAU